rnacentral:pre_miRNA from 1 species
UCUUACGGUUGAGUAAAAAAAGUGGUUUCUUAUGAUGGAAUCUACUCCUGGUGAAGAUGCUGUGAA